rnacentral:rRNA from 1 species
UAGGGAAUCUUCCGCAAUGGGCGAAAGCCUGACGGAGCAACGCCGCGUGAGUGAUGAAGGUCUUCGGAUCGUAAAACGCUGUUAUUAGGGAAGAACAAAUGUGUAAGUAACUAUGCACGUCUUGACGGUACCUAAUCAGAAAGCCACGGCUAACUACGUGCCAGCAGCCGCGGUAAUACGUAGGUGGCAAGCGUUAUCCGGAAUUAUUGGGCGUAAAGCGCGCGUAGGCGGUUUUUUAAGUCUGAUGUGAAAGCCCACGGCUCAACCGUGGAGGGUCAUUGGAAACUGGAAAACUUGAGUGCAGAAGAGGAAAGUGGAAUUCCAUGUGUAGCGGUGAAAUGCGCAGAGCUAUGGAGGAACACCAGUGGCGAAGGCGACUUUCUGGUCUGUAACUGACGCUGAUGUGCGAAAGCGUGGGGAUCAAACAGG